rnacentral:rRNA from 1 species
AUUGAACGCUGGCGGCAGGCUUAACACAUGCAAGUCGAGCGGAGAUGAGGUGCUUGCACCUUAUCUUAGCGGCGGACGGGUGAGUAAUGCUUAGGAAUCUGCCUAUUAGUUGGGGACAACAUUCCGAAAGGAAUGCUAAUACCGCAUACGCCCUACGGGGGAAAGCAGGGGAUCUUCGGACCUUGCGCUAAUAGAUGAGCCUAAGUCGGAUUAGCUAGUUGGUGGGGUAAAGGUCUACCAAUGCGACGAUCUGUAGCGGGUCUGAGAGGAGGGUCCGCCACACUAGAACUGAGACACGGCCCAGACUCCUACGGGAGGCAGCAGUGGGGAAUAUUGGACAAUGGGCGGAAGCCUGAUCCAGCCAUGCCGCGUGUGUGAAGAAGGCCUUUUGGUUGUAAAGCACUUUAAGCGAGGAGGAGGCUACCUGGAUUAAUACUCUAGGAUAGUGGACGUUACUCGCAGAAUAAGCACCGGCUAACUCUGUGCCAGCCGCCGCAGUAAAAC